AAGUCGCAUUCAAAUUCCUAUUUGAGGUAGUCUUAGUGUCUAGCAGUACUUGCCAUCAAAAUAUAAAGGUGCUUCACUCUUCAUACUUGUGUUUUCUGUAUGCAAAGAGGUGAAUGUUGCAGUUCAUAUGCAUUCCCUGCAUAGGAAAGUAAUGAAUAUAUGAUAUCAGAUUCAUGGAAUUCAAACUUAACUCUGAUUUUCCUCUAGGAGUAUAAAAUAUAAGAGCUCCCUUGGAUUUCUGGGCUACAACUUAGGUCCCAUUUUUCUGUUUCCUAUCAGAACUCAUGUGAUCUAUUACAAUGAGUGCAUGACCCACAGUGCUCUUAGAUAUAAAAAGGCAUGGAAGAUAUUUCGGUCUAUCUCUAUCAUUUUCUGUUACGAUUGUAAUUUGCUAAAAAUUUACAAAACCACCGUAUUAGUUUAGUGCAGCUUCUGCCUUGGCCUUUCUGGAGUGAUCAAUCAAGAAGUUCUUCCAUCAUAAAAGGGGUUUUGAUGCUUCAGUCUUCAUGAAUGAUGAUGAUGCUCUUGCACUUGCCACCAAAUAAAAACCAUUCCAUUGAGAGGCAUGCUGUUCGCAACAAGACCUUGAGAGGUUUUUCUGUGAAAGUGACAUGAUCACAGUGGAGCUUGACGAUUCAUGCCCAGGGUUGGUUAUAUGUGUUGCUACGCUUGCACUUGCCACCAGAUAUGGUGUGUUCUGGCCGGUGGUCCAUUUCUCGAUUUUACUGGCAGGAGAGACGGUGCUCAAUCAUAAUAUGAUGAAUCCAUGGACGAGAUUCCAAAGAACAAUGAUAACAUGACCCAAAAAGCAUUCCUCUUUUCCGCAGGGGUUUUGUUGAAAGAGAAACAAUAGUCUUUAGGUGGUGUUCUUCCACUAUCUUGAACAGAAAAGAUAGUAACAGUGGAGAUAGAGAAAAGACAAUACAAAAAGAAAAUGGAGACAUAAUUGUGUUAGUGUUAGUGAUGUAUAGGAUAGAAUGAUUGUUUUGUAUCCUGUUAAAGAUAAAAUAUAUAUAAAAAAAAUCUAUUUUACUAUUAAAUUUUUGUAUAUUAAAAGUUAAUUAGAUUUUUUUAUGUAA